GAUGAACGCUGGCGGCGUGCCUAAUACAUGCAAGUCGAACGAAUCUUCUUCGGAAGAUGAGUGGCGAACGGGUGAGUAAUACAUAGGUAACCUGCCCCUGUGCGGGGGAUAACAGGAGGGAACUCCUGCUAAUACCGCAUAGCCAUGAGCACCGCAUGGAGCUCAUGCCAAAUAUCCUUUCGGGGAUAGCGCAGGGAUGGACCUAUGGCGCAUUAGCUGGUUGGCGGGGCAACGGCCCACCAAGGCAACGAUGCGUAGCCGGCCUGAGAGGGCGGACGGCCACAUUGGGACUGAGACACGGCCCAGACUCCGACGGGAGGCAGCAGUAGGGAAUUUUCGGCAAUGGGGGAAACCCUGACCGAGCAACGCCGCGUGAGCGAAGAAGGCCUUCGGGUCGUAAAGCUCUGUUGUAAAGGAAGAACGGCGCAUACAGGAAAUGGUAUGCGAGUGACGGUACUUUACCAGAAAGCCACGGCUAACUACGUGCCAGCCGCCGCAGUAA
rnacentral:rRNA from 1 species